GGAUGAACGCUGGCGGCGUGCCUAAUCCAUGCAAGUCGAGCGAACAGACGAGGCGCUUGCUCCUCUGACGUUAGCGGCGGACGGGUGAGUAACACGUGGAUAACCUACCUAUAAGACUGGGAUAACUUCGGGAAACCGGAGCUAAUACCGGAUAAUAUAUUGAACCGCAUGGUUCAAUAGUGAAAGACGGUUUUGCUGUCACUUAUAGAUGGAUCCGCGCCGCAUUAGCUAGUUGGUAAGGUAACGGCUUACCAAGGCAACGAUGCGUAGCCGACCUGAGAGGGUGAUCGGCCACACUGGAACUGAGACACGGUCCAGACUCCUACGGGAGGCAGCAGUAGGGAAUCUUCCGCAAUGGGCGAAAGCUUGACGGAGCAACGCCGCGUGAGUGAUGAAGGUCUUCGGAUCGUAAAACUCUGUUAUUAGGGAAGAACAAAUGUGUAAGUAACUAUGCACGUCUUGACGGUACCUAAUCAGAAAGCCACGGCUAACUACGUG
rnacentral:rRNA from 1 species